rnacentral:tRNA from 1 species
CGCAGUGUAGCUCAGUAGUAGAGAGCUUGCCUCACAAGCAUGAGGCCCUGGGUUUGAGCCCUAGCAUGGCAG